CCUUCGAUAGCUCAGUUGGUAGAGCGGUGGACUGUAGAUCCAUAGGUCGCUGGUUUGGCUCCGGCUUGAAGGA
rnacentral:tRNA from 1 species